AUACCUUUCUCGGCCUUUUGGCUAAGAUCAAGUGUAGUAUCUGUUCUUAUCAGUUUAAUAUCUGAUACGUGGGAUAUCGUCCCACAUGAUAUUAAAUUAAUUUUUUUCUUGGGGGAGGUCCCACCACAGUAGCUUGCUACUGGGGUCCUCACGCGUCGCCCAUGCCUUGCACUACUGCAAGGGCCUGGCGCACCCCCA
rfam:Macleaya cordata isolate BLH2017 scaffold285, whole genome shotgun sequence.